rnacentral:tRNA from 1 species
ACGCCUUUAGUUCAACUGGGAAGAACAUAGGUCUCCAAAACCUAAUGCUGAGGGUUCAAGUCCUUCAAGGCGUG